CACGUAGGCACCAAGCGUUGUCCGGAUUUAUUGGGCGUAAAGAGCUCGUAGGCGGUUCAGUAAGUCGGGUGUGAAAACUUUGGGCUUAACCCAAAGCGUGCAUCUGAUACUGCUGUGACUUGAGUUCGGUAGGGGAGUGGGGAAUUCCUAGUGUAGCGGUGAAAUGCGCAGAUAUUAGGAGGAACACCGGUGGCGAAGGCCAUCCUGGACCGGCAUUGACGCUGAGGAGCGAAAGCCAGGGGAGCAAACGGG
rnacentral:rRNA from 1 species